GUGCAUGUGGGGCUCAGCGGUUAAGAGCACUGACUGCUCUUCCAAAGGUCCUGAGUUCAAUUCCCAUCAACCACA
rnacentral:tRNA from 1 species